UGCAGGACUGCCUGAGUCCAUCUUGGGUUACUUGGGCAACCUGUACGACGGGGCGGUCACCGAGUUGAACGGGGUUGCUAUUAAGAUUAGUAGAGGGGUUAAGCAGGGGGAUCCUCUAUCACCUAUUCUAUUCUGCUAUGUGAUAGAUGAGUUAAUGGACAACCUAGAUAGCGGUAUUGGGUUCCCGUUGGCAGGGCAUAGAGUCAACGCGGCAGCCUUUGCCGACGACUUGGCUAUUCUGUCUAGGUCUAAAGCCGGUUUGCAGGCGCUCUUGGCAAGCUUGGCCGACUCACUUCUUCCCACUGGGCUUGAGGUGAACCCGGCUAAGUGCUCCACGCUUGCUAUUAUUUGGGACGGGAAGAAUAAGCGUUGGCUGCAUGAUGCCAAGGGGCAGUUUAAGUUUAGGGGGUCUACUCUGCCAGCACUUGGAGUUGAGGAGUCGUAUAAGUAUUUAGGACUUCAGUAUGGUUCAAAGGGCAAGUUGAAGACGGGGCUGGAGUUGCUUAAGGGUAUGCUCAGAGAGUUAAAGGAGGCGCCGUUGAAACCGCAGCAGAGAGUGUUCCUGCUCAGAACAAAUAUUCUACCUAAGAUUAUGUAUUACUUAGUUAAUGGACGCGUGCACCAGUACACUCUUCGCGAGUGUGACAAGUGUGUUCGACGUUUUCUCAGGGAGGUUCUCCAUCUGCCGCACGACACACUCCGGUGUCUGCCUUUCAUGCGUGUGCGAAGGAUGGAGGCCUCGACAUCGACUGUUUUGAGUCGCUUGUCCCAAUGUAUAAAUGGCAGAAGCUGGUGAGCCUCGAAGAGGUUCCGGACAAUUUGGUCCGUGACUUGUCUCAGCUACCUGCCAUUCGCAAGCGGUUUCAACUUAAAGGUGCGCAGACCAGUUUUAAUAACAGAGCGGAGUAUCGGAUGUUCUGGAAGAACAAGUUGCUGGACAAUCUAGAUGGAUUUGGUUUAGGUGAAGCAGCGGACGUUCCUCAAGUCCACUCUUGGGUGACUGAUGGCUCGUCCCUGCUCACAGGCGAAAUGUAUAUUAAGUGCCUUAAAAUUAGGUGGAAUGUUUGGCCGACUGCAGCUCGUGCGUCCAGAGGUAGGAGGCAGGCCCCUCUCUGUGAUGCGGGCUGCAGGCAAAUUGAAGGUUUGGGGCACAUUCUGCAGCAGUGUAAUAGGACUUGGGAUAAGAGAGGGGCUAGGCAUGAUAGAAUUGUUGAGUUUGUUGGUAGUCAGGUGGAACGGCGAGGGUUCAAUGUUAUUAAGGAGAAGUCUUUUGCGACUCCUAGGGGGCAUAGACGACCUGAUCUAAUUAUAUAUAAUAAGGAUAGAGUGUGGAUUGCUGACGUCACGAUCUGUGCGGACAGAGGAGCGGGGCCUAUGGCCCUCGCGAGGGACAACAAGAUCAAGUAUUAUACGGACGAGGAUCUAGCGACUGAGGUCGCGAAGGUGGCGGGCCCUGGUGCCCAGAGCGUUGUUGGCCUGGUUUGGAACUGGAGAGGGUGUUGCGAGAAGAAGACGGAUGAGUGGCUCAAGAAGAUGGGUGUGCCGAUCGAGUCUAGAAGGCUGGCUUCGGUCAGAGUGCUGGAAGGCUCGGUCUGGUGCGCGGAGGUGUUUAGAAAGAGAACUGGAAUAAAUUUCGCGCAGGUUGGUGGUCGCAAUCGGAGCGAGUAAGUGUCGUGUUUGUGGCUCCGGCGUUCGGUAACGUCCGGACCAGUUUCAGGCAUCCGCCCGGCAGUCCCGGCUGGUCCCAUGUAUAUGACGCUGCUCUAUUUAAAGAGUUGGCCGACUUGACCACCUGGACGGGGGGUUGUACCGGUUUUCCAGCGGUUUCCACGCCAUAAAACCAGCUAAUAUGCUACCUGGAUGAUGGGCCAGUAUAGGCUCGGGCAGUAGCCCAAUGUUUCUUCGCGAAACCUUCCGGGACAGCACUUCAAAAAUAGCCAAAUGCCUCGUCAUCUAAUUAGUGACGCGCAUGAAUGGAUUAACGAGAUUCCCACUGUCCCUAUCUACUAUCUAGCGAAACCACAGCCAAGGGAACGGGCUUGGCAGAAUCAGCGGGGAAAGAAGACCCUGUUGAGCUUGACUCUAGUCCGACUUUGUGAAGAGACAUGAGAGGUGUAGUAUAGGUGGGAGCGUCAGCGACUUUGAAAUACCACUACUUUUAUCGUUUCUUUACUUAUUCAGUGAAGCGGGAGCGGCCUUCACGGGCCUCGUUUCUGGUGUUAAACGGCUGGCCCUCGCGGCCGGCCGUGACCUGCUCUGAAGACAGUGUCAGGCGGGGAGUUUGACUGGGGCGGUACAUCUGUCAAAAGGUAACGCAGGUGUCCCAAGAUGAGCUCAGUCAGGACAGAAACCUGGCGUAGAGCAAAAGGGCAAAAGCUCAUUUGAUUUUGAUUUUCAGUACGAAUACAGACCGUGAAAGCGCGGCCUAUCGAUCCCUUUGAUUAAUCAGAGUUUGAUGCAAGGGGUGUCAGAAAAGUUACAGGUAACUGGCUUGUGGCGGCCGUAUAGCGACGUCGCUUUUUGAUCCUUCGAUGUCGGCUCUUCCUAUCAUUGUGAAGCAGAAUUCACCAAGCGUUGGAUUGUUCACCCACCAAUAGGGAACGUGAGCUGGGUUUAGACCGUCGUGAGACAGGUUAGUUUUACCCUACUGAUGUCUUGUCGUUGCUAUGGUAAUCCUGCUUAGUACGAGAGGAACCGCAGGUUCAGACAUUUGGUUUAUGUGCUUGGUCGAAAGACCAAUGGUGCGAAGCUACCAUCUGAGGGAUUAAGACUGAAAGCCUCUUAAGUCUGAAUCCCGCCCAGAAAUGCAACGAUACUAUCGGUGCCCCUACGCCGGGAGGCAACGAUAUACUCGGCCCGAAAUCCGAUUUCGGCGGCCGAGACUGGCUAAAGCCACUGCGAUACUGGCCACACCCGCUGUCUUGAAAUUUGGCAGUGGAGGCACAGACACGAUACCACUUGAUUGAGACGUAGGGGUUCUAUAUCGUUUGUAGACGACUUAGAUCUCGGUCGGGGUGCCGUACUUAGUUGAGCAGUUCUUCACUGCGAUCUAUUGAGGCUAAGCCUUUUGACGGGGAGAUAUGUCCGC
rnacentral:rRNA from 1 species